UACGGGGGGAGCAAGCGUUGUUCGGAUUUACUGGGCGUAAAGGGCGCGUAGGCGGCCUCCGCAAGUCAGUUGUGAAAUCUCCGAGCUUAACUCGGAAAGGUCAACUGAUACUGCGGGGCUAGAGUGCGGAAGGGGCAACUGGAAUUCCUGGUGGAGCGGUGAAAUGCGCAGAGAUCAGGAGGAACACCCGUAGCGAAGGCGGCACUCUGGGCCGAUACUGACACUGAGGAGCGAAAGCGUGGGGAGCGAACAGG
rnacentral:rRNA from 1 species